rnacentral:lncRNA from 1 species
UGGUGACUCACCCCUGUAAUCCCAGCACUUUUGGUGGCUGAGGUGGGUGGAUCACCUGAGGUCAGGAGUUCAAGACCAGCUUGCCCAACAUGGUGAAACGUCACCUAUCCUAAAAAUACAAAAAUAAGCUGGGCGUGGUGGCAGAUGCCUAUAACCACAGCUACUCUGGAGUCUGAUACAGGAGAAUCACUUGAACCCAGGAGGUGGUAGUUGAAGUGAGCCGAGAUCAUGCCAUUGCAUUCCAGUUUGGGCAAAAGAGCAAGAUUUUGUCUCAAAAAAAAAAACAAAAGUAAUAAAAAUAAAAAGGUAAAUAACUAAAAUCACUUUUAAAUAAUUGUAUAAAAAUAAUAAAACACUGACAUUUACAGAGCUCAGUUAGAUGAGGUGACUCAUACCUUCCAAUGGUGUCUUGGUUCUCUUACAUAAGAAUUCAAAUGUCUUUCUGUGGCCCAAAAGAUCCCACACAGCCUGGCCCCUGGCCUAUCUUCUGCCAGCCUCUCUCAUCUCUCUCCCUCUCCUUCACUUCCUUCCGGAUCACAAAGGCCUUUGCCUGUGCCUUCUGCCCUGCUCCCUCAAGCCCCAGGGCCUUGGCCUGUGCUAGUCCAGUCCCUCCAGCUCACCAGGAGCAUACAGUCCAGUCGGGGAGACAGACACCAGACACCCAAACAGGCACAUACAUCCUGUAACAACUCAGGAGGCAUCAAGGAGGAAAACGAGUUUUCCAGGCACAGACUACAGGCGUAAACUGGUUUCAAACUAGAGAGGGAGAAAGGGGGUCUCUGAGCAUGGGGCAGUUGAGCUGAAAGAGAUCUCAGGGGACCAGAGGAAGGAAAAGUGUUCCAGGCGAGGGAAGAGCAUGUGUGAGGUCUCUGAGACAAAGACCUGGUCAUUUCAGAAUCCCAAUGGCCACUAAAAUAGAGGGAUUCCAACCUAAAAAGGAGGAAGAGGAGGCUGCUGGAAAGCAAAGGACUCUGUGUAAGAAUCAUAAUAGCAGGAGUGGAGCCAAGAUGGCCGAAUAGGAACAGCUCCAGUCUACAAUUCCUGGCGUGAGCGACCCAGAAGACAGGUGAUUUCUGCAUUUCCAACUGAGGUACUUGGUUCAUCUCACUGGAGAGUGUCAGAAAGUGGGUGCAGGACACUUGGUGCAGUGCACCGAGCAUGAGCCAAGCAGGACAAGGCAUUGCCUCACCUGGGAAGUGCAAGGGGUCAGAGAAUUCCCUUCCCUAGUCAAAGAAACGGGUGACAGAUGGCACCUGGAAAAUCGGGUCACUCACACCCUAAUACUGCACUUUUCCAAUGGUCUUAGCAAACGGCACACCAGGAGAUUAUAUCCCAUGCCUGGCUCAGAGGGUCCUAAACCCAUGGAGCCUCACUCAUUGCUAGCACAGCAGUAUGAGAUCAAACUGCAAGGUGGCAGCAAGGCUGGGGGAGGGGCGCCCGCCAUUGCCUAGGCUUCAGUAGGUAAACAAAGCAGCUGGGAAGCUCCAACUGGGUGGAGCCCACCUCAGCUCAAGGAGGCCUGCCUACCUCUGUAGACUCCACCUCUGGGGGCAGGGCAUUGGCAAACAAAAGGCAGCAGAAUCCUCUGCAGACUUAAAUAUCCCUGUCUGACAGCUUUGAAGAGAGAAGUGGUUCUCCCAGCACACAGCUGGAGAUCUGAGAAUGGACAGAUUGCCUCCUCAAGUGGGUCCCUGACCCCCGAGUUGCCUAACUGGAGGCACACCCCCGUAGGGGCAGACUGACACCUCACAUGGCCGGGUACUCCUCUGAGACAAAACUUCCAGAGGAACAAUCAGGCAGCAACAUUUGCUGCUCAACAAUAUCUGCUGUUCUGCAGCCUCAACUGCUGACACCCAGGCAAACUCCAACAGACCUGCAGCUGAGGGUCCUGACUCUUAGAAGGAAAACUAACAAACAGAAAAGACAUCCACACUUAAAACCCCAUCUGUACGUCACCAUCAUCAAAGACCAAACGUAGAUAAAGCCACAAAGAUGGGGAAAAAACAGACACACACAGGCUCAAAUAAAGGGAUGGAGGAAGAUCUACCAAGCAAAUGGAAAACAAAAAAAAGGCAGGUGUUGCAAUCCUAGUCUCUGAUAAAACAGACUUUAAACCAACAAAGAUCAAAAGAGACAAAGAAGGCCAUUACAUAAUGGUAAAGGGAUCAAUUCAACAAGAAGAGCUAACUAUCCUAAAUAUAUAUGCACCCAAUACAUGAGCACCCAGAUUCAAAAAGCAAGUCCUUAGAGACCUACAAAGAGACUUAGACUCCCACACAAUAAUAAUGGGAGGCUUUAACACCCCACUGUCAACAUUAGACAGAUCAACAAGACAGAAAGUUAACAAGUAUAUUCAGGAAUUGAACUCAGCUCUGCACCAAGCGGAACUAAUAGACAUCUACAGAACUCUCCACCCCAAAUCAACAGAAUAUACAGUCUUCUCAGCACCACAUCGCACUUCUUCCAAAAUUGACCACAUAGUUGGAAGUGAAGCACUCUUCAGCAAAUGUAAAACAACAGAAAUUAUAACAAACUGUCUCUCAGACCACAGUGCAAUCAAACUAGAACUCAGGAUUAAGAAACUCUCUCAAAACUACUCAACUACAUGAAAACUGAACAACCUGCUCCUGAAUGACUACUGGGUACAUAAUGAAAUGAAGGCAGAAAUAAAGGUGUUCUUUGAAACCAACGAGAACAAAGACACAACAUACCAGAAUCUCUCGGACACAUUCAAAGCAGUGUGUAGAGGGAAAUUUAUAGCACUAAAUGCCCACAAGAGAAAACAGGAAAUAUCUAAAACUGACACCCUAACAUCACAAUUAAAAGAACUAGAGAAGCAAAGAGCAAACACAUUCAAAAGCUAGCAGAAGGCAAGAAAUAACUAAGAUCAGAGCAGAACUGAAAGAAAUAGAGACACAAAAAACCCUUCAAAAAAUCCAUGAAUCCAGGAGCUGGUUUUUUGAAAAGAUCAACAAAAUUGAUAGACCACUAGCAAGACUAAUAAAGAAAAGAGAGAAGAAUCCAAUAGACACAAUAAAAAUUGAUAAAGGGGAUAUCACCACCAAUCCCACAAAAAUACAAACUACCAUCAGAGGAUAGUAUAAACACCUCUAUGCAAAUAAACUAGAAAACCUAGAAGAAAUGGAUAAAUUCCUCGACACGUACACCCUCCCAAUGCUAAACCAGGAAGAAGUUGAAUCUCUGAAUAGACCAAUAACAGGUUCUGAAAUUGAGGCAAUAAUUAAUAGCUUACCAACCAAAAAAAGUCCAUGACCAGACGGAAUCACAGACGAAUUCCACCAGAGGUAAAAGGAGGAGCUGGUACCAUUCCUUCUGAAACUAUUCCAAACAAUAGAAAAAGAGGGAAUCCUACCUAACUCAUUUUAUGAGGCCAGCAUCAUCUUGAUACCAAAGCCGGGCAGAGACACAACCAAAAAAGAGAAUUUUAGACCAAUAUCCCUGAUGAACAUCGAUGCAAAAAUCCUCUAUAAAAUACUGGCAAACCGAAUCCAGCAGCACAUCAAAAACUUAUCCACCAUGAUCAAGUGGGCUUCCUCCCUGGGAUGCAAGAUUGGUUCAACAUUUGCAAAUCAGUAAACAUAAUCCAGCAUAUAAACAGAACCAAUGACAAAAACCAUAUGAUUAUCUCAUUACAUGCAGAAAAGGCCUGUGACAAAAUUCAACAACCUUCAUGCUGAAAACUCUCAAUAAAUUAAGUAUUGAUGGGACGUAUCUCAAAAUAAUAAGAGCUAUCUAUGACAAACCCACAGCCAAUAUCAUACUGAAUGGGCAAAAACUGGAAGCAUUCCCUUUGAAAACUGGCACAAGACAGGGAUGCCCUCUCUCACCACUCCUAUUCAACAUAGUGUUGGAAGUUCUGGCCAGGGCAAUCAGGGAGGAGAAGGAAAUAAAGGGUAUUCAAUUAAGAAAAGAGGAAGUCAAAUUGUCCCUGUUUGCAGAUGACAUGAUUGUAUAUCAAGAAAACCCCACUGUCUCAGCCCAAAAUCUCCUUAAGCUGAUAGGCAACUUCAGCAAAGUCUCAGGAUACAAAAUCAAUUUGCAAAAAUCACAAGCAUUCUUAUAAACCAAUACAGACAAACAGAGAGCCAAAUCAUGAGUGAACUCCCAUUCACAAUUGCUUCAAAGAGAAUAAAAUACCUAGGAAUCCAACUUACAAGGGAUAUGAAGGACCUCUUCAAGGAGAACUAUAAACCACUGCUCAACGAAAUAAAAGAGGACACAAACAAAUGGAAGAACAUUCCAUGCUCAUGAGUAGGAAGAAUCAAUAUCGUAAAAAUGGCCAUAUUGGCCAAGGUAAUUUAUAGAUUCAAUGCCAUCCCCAUCAAGUUACCAAUGACUUUCUUCACAGAAUUGGAAAAAACUACUUUAAAGUUCAUAUGGAACCAAAAAAGAGCCCGCAUUGCCAAGUCAAUCCUAAGCCAAAAGAACAAAGCUAGAGGCAUCACACUACCUGACUUCAAACUAUACUACAAGGCUACAGUAAUCAAAACAGCCUGGUACUGGUACAAAAACAGAGAUAUAGACCAAUGGAACAGAACAGAGCCCUCAGGAAUAAUGCCACAUAUCUACAACCAUCUGAUCUUUGACAAACCUGACAAAAACAUGAAACGGGGAAAGGAUUCCCUAUUUAAUAAAUGGUGCUGGGAAAACUGGCUAGCCAUAUGAAGAAAGCUGAAACUGGAUCCCUUCCUUACACCUUAGACAAAAAUUAAUUCAAGAUGGAUUAGACUUAAAUGUUAGACCUAAAACCAUAAAAACCCUAGAAGAAAACCUCAGCAAUAUCAUUCAGGACAUAGGCAUGGGCAAGGAAUUCAUGUCUAAAACACCAAAAGCAAUGGCAAGAAAAGCCAAAAUUAACAAAUGGGAUCUAAUUAAACUAAAGAGCUUCUGCACAGCAAAAGAAACUACCAUCAGAGUGAACAGGCAACCUACAGAAUGGGAGAAAAUUUUUGCAAUCUACUCAUCUGACAAAGGGCUAAUAUCAAGAAUCUACAAUGAGCUCCAAUAAAUUUACAAGAAAAAAACAAACAACCCAUCAAAAAGUGGGCAAAGGAUAUGAACAGACACUUCUCAAAAGAAGACAUUUAUGUAGCCAAAAGACACGUGAAAAAAAUGCUCAUCAUCCCUGGCCAGAGAAAUGCAAGUCAAAACAACAAUGUGAUACCAUCUCACCCCAGUUAGAAUGGCGAUCAUUAACAAGUCAGGAAACAACAGGUGCUGGAGAGGAUGUGGAGAAAUAGGAACACUUUUACGCUGUUGGUGGGACUGUAAACUAGUUCACCCAUUGUGAAAUUCAGUGUGGCAAUUCCUCAGGGAUCUAGAACUAGAAAUACCAUUUGACCCAGCCAUCCCAUUACUGGGUAUAUACCCAAAGGAUUAUAAAUCAUGCUGCUAUAAAGACACAUGCACACGUAUGUUUAUAGUGGCACUAUUCACGAUAGCAAAGACUUGGAACCAAGCCAAAUGUCCAACAAUGAUAGACAGGAUUAAGAAAAUAUGGCACAUAUACACCAUGGAAUACUAUGCAGCCAUAAACAAUGAUUUCAUGUCCUUUGUAGGGACAUGGAUGAAGCUGGAAACCAUCAUUCUCUGCAAACUAUUGCAAGGACAAAAAACCAAACAC